GAUGAACGCUGGCGGCGUGCCUAAUACAUGCAAGUCGAGCGAAGCGGGGACGGGGGAGUAACACGUGGAUAACCUCCUAUAAGACUGGGGUAACUUCGGGAAACCGGUACUAAACCCGCAACUUAUCCAUGGAUCCGCGCUGCAUUAGCUAGUUGGUAAGGUAACGGCUUACAAAGGCCACGAUGCAUAGCCGAUCUGAGAGGGUGACCGGCCACACUGGAACUGAGACACGGUCCAGACUCCUACGGGAGGCAGCAGUAGGGAAUCUUCCGCAAUGGGCGAAAGCCUGAAGGAGCAACGCCGCGUGAGUGAUGAAGGUCUUCGGAUCGUAAAACUCUGUUAUUAGGGAAGCGGUACCCAAUCAGAAAGCCACGGCUAACUACGUGCCAGCAGCCGCGGUAAUAC
rnacentral:rRNA from 1 species